rnacentral:lncRNA from 1 species
AUUGAUUUAAUUGAGAAUUUAAACAUCAAAAUAAUAAAAAAAUUUAAAAAAUUUAAUGCAUAUAUUUUUUUAAUUUUUUAGGCAAAAAUCAGAGCAAAAAUCCAAUAAAAAUAUCUUAAAAAAUAAAUUUUAUUACCUUCGAUACACGGUAGACCGGUCUCUCGAUCCACAUAAGCGAUGGCGUGGUCCAUAGGAACAGUUUGCAAUAUUUUGGCACGAUCUACGGGUGAGCGAAAGAAAAUUUACAUCAUCUGAUGGUUGAUAUCAAUUCUGAAGG